AGAGUUUGAUCCUGGCUCAGGAUGAACGCUGGCGGCGUGCCUAACACAUGCAAGUCGAACGGAGUUGAUUUUCUUCGGAAUAUCAACUUAGUGGCGGACGGGUGAGUAACGCGUGAGCAAUCUGCCUUUCAGAGGGGGAUAACGACUGGAAACGGUCGCUAAUACCGCAUAACGUAUCGAUGUGGCAUCACAUAGAUACCAAAGGAGAAAUCCGCUGAGAGAUGAGCUCGCGUCUGAUUAGAUAGUUGGCGGGGUAACGGCCCACCAAGUCGACGAUCAGUAGCCGGACUGAGAGGUUGAACGGCCACAUUGGGACUGAGACACGGCCCAGACUCCUACGGGAGGCAGCAGUGGGGAAUAUUGCGCAAUGGGGGGAACCCUGACGCAGCAACGCCGCGUGAUUGAAGAAGGUCUUCGGAUUGUAAAAAUCUUUUAUCAGAGACGAAGAAGUGACGGUAUCUGAUGAAUAAGCUCCGGCUAACUACGUGCCAGCAGCCGCGGUAAUACGUAGGGAGCGAGCGUUAUCCGGAUUUACUGGGUGUAAAGGGCGAGUAGGCGGAUUGGCAAGUCAGAUGUGAAAUACCGGGGCUCAACCCCGGAACUGCAUUUGAAACUGUUGACCUUGAGUGAUGGAGAGGCAGGCGGAAUUCCCAGUGUAGCGGUGAAAUGCGUAGAUAUUGGGAGGAACACCAGUGGCGAAGGCGGCCUGCUGGACAUUAACUGACGCUGAGGAGCGAAAGCGUGGGGGAGCAAACAGGAUUAGAUACCCUGGUAGUCCACGCCGUAAACGAUGGAUACUA
rnacentral:rRNA from 1 species